GACCCUCACAAGAAGAAUAAAUUCGAUAGUACUGCUAUCUUUACAACCCCCAGGCGUUUUUCAUUCAGCCCCUCCCGCAACAGGGAACCCUAACCCCUCCUCUCCCCGGCUCCACUCUCCUCCCCGCCGCCAUCUCCCUCCCUCUCUCUCCCACCUCCCAUCUCCUCCCAGGCUCCCCGCCGCCACCUGGCUCCCUCCCCGGCACGCGCUCGGCUCUCCCUCCUCCACCACGCGCUCAGCAGCCCCUCCACCGCACCGCCUCUGCCGCGAGUUGUGGCCUCUCGCACUCGGCACCCCCUCCUCCGCCGCGGCACAGGGCCUCCUCCGCCAUGGGUUGAGGCCCCCAUGCUCGGCACAACCCCUCGCCACGAUGCCGGGGCACGAGCCACAUAGUCCAUCCACGGCUGCUCCCCUCUGGCUCCGAGUUCAUCGGCACCUCCGCACGGAUCCUCCAUCCCUCCUCCUCCGCCACCCUCCCCGCCGGUGCUCCUCCUCGCCGCCGCAGCCGACCGCCGCCGCGGAAUCCGGAUCAGGCGCGGGGCGUGACUCAGAGGGAGGGGCCGCGGGCCGACCAGGGCGCCCGGUGGAGACCCUCCCUCCCCCUCUCUCUCUCUCUCUCUCCGCCUCCUCCUGCUCUCGUCCGUCGCCUGGCACCCAAAGGGCACCAAAGGUUGCUGCUUGUAGAGGAGGCAGUAGCCGGAGGUGCAGACGGUUGGUGAUGGCUGCGGCGGCGGGCAUCAUGACGCUUGGCGCCCUUCGAUCUCGACGGCACCCUCACGCACUACAAGUUAUCAUGGUGAGCUUGACCGAUCCAACGCCGGCCGCACUGGGUAGGAUGGCAAGAGCCAGGCACCUGCCUCUUGCCGGAAGGAGAUAAGGUCGAAGGGUCAGCUAGGGCCAAGAAGCUGAAGAAGAGAUGAGCCUGCCCCAGCGUGUACGUUUCAAAUCACCUCCGUGACAUGGUUGAUGCACAAGAUCUGUUCAACGAAUUGCCUACAAGGUAUCAUGCCAACAGAAUGCUUAGCUUUUACCCACCAGCUUGAAUGUUGAGGAGUGUUCUACUUCUAUCACACCACGAACUGUUCAGAAGAUGGCAGAUGCACUGCAUGAAGGGUUGGUCCUUUCACAUCUCUCAUUAGAUCAAUCUGAUAUGUGGCAAUGCAAUGCUAACCUUCUAUCCAAACUUGCCUAUCUGACAAGGGAUGUGAUGCUGUUCAGGCAAUGCUUGUGAAUCUUCCAUGCAGUAUUAGAUCACUCACACUGGACAGAUGCAACCUUGGGCUUGCUGGAAUUGUUUGUAUUAUUCAGGCACUAUCAGGAAAUGACCAACUGGAGGGGCUGCGCUUGGCCGAGAACACAAACUCGGCACUAGAGAGAAUAAUUCAGUACGAAGGCAUGCAGGAAGUAUCAACAACCAAUGAACAAAAACAAUGUAGCAACCCAGAAACAAGCAAUGCUAUAGUCCUAGGAAAUACUCUGCAUAUAGUUUGUCAAUUCUUAUUACUCUAUUGUUAUUUGCAUUUGAUUGUUCAAACUGUAGGGCGCGCAUCGCGCGCCGAAUGUUCUAGUAAGACAAGAACACACUAUUAUUUCUUUUCUAAAAAAAAGGAGAAGGAUGAACCCGCAUUGCCACUUCUGCUA